rnacentral:rRNA from 1 species
UACGGAGGGUGCAAGCGUUGCUCGGAAUUAUUGGGCGUAAAGGGUAGGUAGGUGGUCUCGUUUGUCUGGGGUGAAAGCCUUGAGCUUAACUCAAGAAGUGCCUCAGAAACGGCGAGACUAGAGUUCUGGAGAGGGUCGUGGAAUUCCCGGUGUAGCGGUGAAAUGCGUAGAGAUGUGGAGGAACACCGAUGGCGAAGGCAGCCCCCUGGGUCAACACUGACGCCUCAGGCACGAAAGCGUGGGGAGCAAACAGG